ACUUAUAUUCUGUAGCAAGGUUAACCGAAUAGGGGAGCCGAAGGGAAACCGAGUCUUAACUGGGCGUUAAGUUGCAGGGUAUAGACCCGAAACCCGGUGAUCUAGCCAUGGGCAGGUUGAAGGUUGGGUAACACUAACUGGAGGACCGAACCGACUAAUGUUGAAAAAUUAGCGGAUGACUUGUGGCUGGGGGUGAAAGGCCAAUCAAACCGGGAGAUAGCUGGUUCUCCCCGAAAGCUAUUUAGGUAGCGCCUCGUGAAUUCAUCUCCGGGGGUAGAGCACUGUUUCGGCAAGGGGGUCAUCCCGACUUACCAACCCGAUGCAAACUGCGAAUACCGGAGAAUGUUAUCACGGGAGACACACGGCGGGUGCUAACGUCCGUCGUGAAGAGGGAAACAACCCAGACCGCCAGCUAAGGUCCCAAAGUCAUGGUUAAGUGGGAAACGAUGUGGGAAGGCCCAGACAGCCAGGAUGUUGGCUUAGAAGCAGCCAUCAUUUAAAGAAAGCGUAAUAGCUCACUGGUCGAGUCGGCCUGCGCGGAAGAUGUAACGGGGCUAAACCAUGCACCGAAGCUGCGGCAGCGACACUGUGUGUUGUUGGGUAGGGGAGCGUUCUGUAAGCCUGUGAAGGUGUGCUGUGAGGCAUGCUGGAGGUAUCAGAAGUGCGAAUGCUGACAUAAGUAACGAUAAAGCGGGUGAAAAGCCCGCUCGCCGGAAGACCAAGGGUUCCUGUCCAACGUUAAUCGGGGCAGGGUGAGUCGACCCCUAAGGCGAGGCCGAAAGGCGUAGUCGAUGGGAAACAGGUUAAUAUUCCUGUACUUGGUGUUACUGCGAAGGGGGGACGGAGAAGGCUAUGUUGGCCGGGCGACGGUUGUCCCGGUUUAAGCGUGUAGGCUGGUUUUCCAGGCAAAUCCGGAAAAUCAAGGCUGAGGCGUGAUGACGAGGCACUACGGUGCUGAAGCAACAAAUGCCCUGCUUCCAGGAAAAGCCUCUAAGCAUCAGGUAACAUCAAAUCGUACCCCAAACCGACACAGGUGGUCAGGUAGAGAAUACCAAGGCGCUUGAGAGAACUCGGGUGAAGGAACUAGGCAAAAUGGUGCCGUAACUUCGGGAGAAGGCACGCUGAUAUGUAGGUGAAGUCCCUCGCGGAUGGAGCUGAAAUCAGUCGAAGAUACCAGCUGGCUGCAACUGUUUAUUAAAAACACAGCACUGUGCAAACACGAAAGUGGACGUAUACGGUGUGACGCCUGCCCGGUGCCGGAAGGUUAAUUGAUGGGGUCAGCGCAAGCGAAGCUCUUGAUCGAAGCCCCGGUAAACGGCGGCCGUAACUAUAACGGUCCUAAGGUAGCGAAAUUCCUUGUCGGGUAAGUUCCGACCUGCACGAAUGGCGUAAUGAUGGCCAGGCUGUCUCCACCCGAGACUCAGUGAAAUUGAACUCGCUGUGAAGAUGCAGUGUACCCGCGGCAAGACGGAAAGACCCCGUGAACCUUUACUAUAGCUUGACACUGAACAUUGAGCCUUGAUGUGUAGGAUAGGUGGGAGGCUUUGAAGUGUGGACGCCAGUCUGCAUGGAGCCGACCUUGAAAUACCACCCUUUAAUGUUUGAUGUUCUAACGUGGACCCGUGAUCCGGGUUGCGGACAGUGUCUGGUGGGUAGUUUGACUGGGGCGGUCUCCUCCUAAAGAGUAACGGAGGAGCACGAAGGUUGGCUAAUCCUGGUCGGACAUCAGGAGGUUAGUGCAAUGGCAUAAGCCAGCUUGACUGCGAGCGUGACGGCGCGAGCAGGUGCGAAAGCAGGUCAUAGUGAUCCGGUGGUUCUGAAUGGAAGGGCCAUCGCUCAACGGAUAAAAGGUACUCCGGGGAUAACAGGCUGAUACCGCCCAAGAGUUCAUAUCGACGGCGGUGUUUGGCACCUCGAUGUCGGCUCAUCACAUCCUGGGGCUGAAGUAGGUCCCAAGGGUAUGGCUGUUCGCCAUUUAAAGUGGUACGCGAGCUGGGUUUAGAACGUCGUGAGACAGUUCGGUCCCUAUCUGCCGUGGGCGCUGGAGAACUGAGGGGGGCUGCUCCUAGUACGAGAGGACCGGAGUGGACGCAUCACUGGUGUUCGGGUUGUCAUGCCAAUGGCACUGCCCGGUAGCUAAAUGCGGAAGAGAUAAGUGCUGAAAGCAUCUAAGCACGAAACUUGCCCCGAGAUGAGUUCUCCCUGACCCUUUAAGGGUCCUGAAGGAACGUUGAAGACGACGACGUUGAUAGGCCGGGUGUGUAAGCGCAGCGAUGCGUUGAGCUAACCGGUACUAAUGAACCGUGAGGCUUAACCUUACAACGCCGAAGGUGUUU
rnacentral:rRNA from 1 species